GGUCCGCUGGCUCAAUGCUGACUACGAAUCAGGAGGUUCCAGGUUCGACCCCUGGGUGGAUCG
rnacentral:tRNA from 1 species